AUGUUAGCAGGCGGACGGGUGAGUAACACGUGGGUAACCUGCCUGUAAGACUGGGAUAACUCCGGGAAACCGGGGCUAAUACCGGAUGCUUGUUUGAACCGCAUGGUUCAGACAUAAAAGGUGGCUUCGGCUACCACUUACAGAUGGACCCGCGGCGCAUUAGCUAGUUGGUGAGGUAACGGCUCACCAAGGCGACGAUGCGUAGCCGACCUGAGAGGGUGAUCGGCCACACUGGGACUGAGACACGGCCCAGACUCCUACGGGAGGCAGCAGUAGGGAAUCUUCCGCAAUGGACGAAAGUCUGACGGAGCAACGCCGCGUGAGUGAUGAAGGUUUUCGGAUCGUAAAGCUCUGUUGUUAGGGAAGAACAAGUGCCGUUCAAAUAGGGCGGCACCUUGACGGUACCUAACCAGAAAGCCACGGCUAACUACGUGCCAGCAGCCGCGGUAAUACGUAGGUGGCAAGCGUUGUCCGGAAUUAUUGGGCGUAAAGGGCUCGCAGGCGGUUUCUUAAGUCUGAUGUGAAAGCCCCCGGCUCAACCGGGGAGGGUCAUUGGAAACUGGGGAACUUGAGUGCAGAAGAGGAGAGUGGAAUUCCACGUGUAGCGGUGAAAUGCGUAGAGAUGUGGAGGAACACCAGUGGCGAAGGCGACUCUCUGGUCUGUAACUGACGCUGAGGAGCGAAAGCGUGGGGAGCGAACAGGAUUAGAUACCCUGGUAGUCCACGCCGUAAACGAUGAGUGCUAAGUGUUAGGGGGGUUUCCGCCCCUUAGUGCUGCAGCUAACGCAUUAAGCACUCCGCCUGGGGAG
rnacentral:rRNA from 1 species